CACUCCUGCGGGAGGCAGCAGUGGGGAAUUUUGGACAAUGGGCGAAAGCCUGAUCCAGCAAUGCCGCGUGAGUGAAGAAGGCCUUCGGGUUGUAAAGCUCUUUUGUCAGGGAAGAAACGGUGAAAGCUAAUAUCUUUUGCUAAUGACGGUACCUGAAGAAUAAGCACCGGCUAACUACGUGCCAGCAGCCGCGGUAAUACGUAGGGUGCAAGCGUUAAUCGGAAUUACUGGGCGUAAAGCGUGCGCAGGCGGUUUUGUAAGUCUGAUGUGAAAUCCCCGGGCUCAACCUGGGAAUUGCAUUGGAGACUGCAAGGCUAGAAUCUGGCAGAGGGGGGUAGAAUUCCACGUGUAGCAGUGAAAUGCGUAGAUAUGUGGAGGAACACCGAUGGCGAAGGCAGCCCCCUGGGUCAAGAUUGACGCUCAUGCACGAAAGCGUGGGGAGCAAACAGGAUUAGAAACCCUGGUAGUCCCAUGA
rnacentral:rRNA from 1 species